CCCUGCCUGCGAUUGCCUCAGUCUGCAGAGAGGGAGCCGGAAGAGGAGUAGAGUGGUGCGUCACACGCAGUUGUCUCGCUUGUCUGUAGCUGCUGCUCAAGUUCAGCAAAUCCUCCUGAUGUCGGCGCUUGUUGUACCCAGCUGUCACACUCGCACAUCAUGACGCUGCCCGGCCCCAGGCUCUCCAGGAAUCCACCAGGCACCUUCACUGAAUCUAGCUUCGGUUUACAGACUUGAUGCAAGAGAGAGUGGAGCUGAAGGAGCAUGUAGAAGAGCUGGAGCAUCGAUGUAUUCAGCUGUCAGGAGAAACACACUAUUGGUGAAUACAUUGCACUUUAUCAGAACCAGAGAGCCAUACUGAAGCAGCGUCACAAGGAAAUGGAGGAGUACAUUAGCUGACUGGCUCAGGACAAAGAGGAGAUGAAGGCUAAGCUGCUAGAAUUGCAAGUUUUGGUCAUGCGACUGGUAACUGAGCACAAUGAAUGGUACAGGAGGUACAGGAGGUACAGGCAACCCAGGGUCCCCAGACAGGGUCAGAAGAGUUCCCAGCAGAAAACCCUAUGGAACUUGAAGGAAAAGAGAAUGGAGCCCUGGAGGAAGUCGGCUUAGAAGAGGAUGGGAGACGGGAAGUACAGUCAUUGCUUCAUUUGGCAGCUCCUCAGGAACGACUAAACCCCUGGAUCAGAAGACCCAACCACUAAACAAAUUAUGCAUGAGAUACAGAUUCCCCAGGAAUGGCCUGGUGCCCUGCUGCAGAAUCCAUGCAUCCCCUUUUUCUACCGUGCUGACUAAAAUGACUAGGUCCGAAUUAUGGUGAUUUGAGGGAGAAGUUGACAGAUGCAUCCCUCCUUUUCCCAUGCCAACGCCUGCUUGUGCUGGGAUUCAUUUUCUCCAAGGACACAUUAGAAACCAUUGCUUUGGGAUGGGGGAGUGCUGGAGAUUGGCAAUUAAUGGGAUGGAUGUGGAGAACUGUUGCCUUUCUGUACUGAAUUUUGGGUCCCAUAGUGAAGUAUUGUAUUCCACCCAAGGGAACCCCUGUAUUGCACAGGCCAAUGGGUUAUACCAUUCAGUGCAGAUUUGUUUCCACACUAGUUUAAAGCUGCUAUUUUCACCUGCUACCUUUGGGGGAGGGGGCUCAACCCCAUCCACUUGAAUAGUCAGUCUUAUUUCUGGAUUUUUACAUAUCUGAAGCACUAAUGUUUGAUAUGAUGUUGACCACAAGAAGAAUGGUGGUUUAGAAAUGAGGUGGAAGGUUAUACUGUUAGGGGAAGGCUGUUCAGGCAGAACAAAAGAGAUAUGACCAUGUUGAUUGUUCUCUGUUCAUUCUCAGAUAAUAAGUAAUCCUUUGGGGAAAAAUGUGUUAUUCUAGAACUUUGGGUAAAGGCAGGUGAUUGACGUUGCUUGUAAGUAUGCAGUCCAAGGAAUCUCUUCUCUUGCAUUGCGUUGAUCUCAUACACAUGGGAAGAGUUUUUUUUAACAGCUGCAAAAGUUAAGGAUUAAGGAUUUUUUAGCUCAAAAUGGUCAAUGAAAGAUAUAAGUUAAAGUGCAGAUUGUUAUAGAAGUUGUAUCCAACCUCAAGUCUUUCUAGGGGAAAUUCCUGAAUGAAACUGAUAUAUCUACGGUCGACUGAACCCAGUACAUUGUCGGACACAUUGUGCAGCUCUGCAGCCUGAACUGGUAUCAUUACAAUCAGUCCGGCUUCAUACAAGGCAUAUGGAGGUUGUUUUUAAAUAAGGAGUAGCAGAAGACUUAGACCUAAGCAGUGGAUAAAAAUGAUAUACUGACGAGCAUUACAUGAGCAGAAGCAUAUUUAUUUUAUAUUUGAAAGUAGUACACAUUGAGGUUUUGAGGAAUUUGCACCUUGCCCUUCUCUCUGCUUAAAGGGCCAUAUGACCGUGCACAAUGUCUCAGUGUCCUGGUUAAUUUUUCACUUUAACUUUUUUAGAUUUCAUGAUGUUGGCAGUUUUUUAAUUCAUGCAUAUAACUUGAAUGUGUAACUUUUUGUGCCUCCUGUUGUUUGACCCAUGCAAAACUGCAAAAGCUUAAAGGAUCAGUAACAUCAAUUUUUAAAAAAAAAUAAAAAAUUGGUUAGUAUAGAACGAAAAAA